AUUGAACGCUGGCGGCAGGCCUAACACAUGCAAGUCGAACGGUAACAGGAAGAAGCUUGCUUCUUUGCUGACGAGUGGCGGACGGGUGAGUAAUGUCUGGGAAACUGCCUGAUGGAGGGGGAUAACUACUGGAAACGGUAGCUAAUACCGCAUAACGUCGCAAGACCAAAAAGGGGGACCUUCGGGCCUCUUGCCAUCGGAUGUGCCCAGAUGGGAUUAGCUCGUAGGUGGGGUAACGGCUCACCUAGGCGACGAUCCCUAGCUGGUCUGAGAGGAUGACCAGCCACACUGGAACUGAGACACGGUCCAGACUCCUACGGGAGGCAGCAGUGGGGAAUAUUGCACAAUGGGCGCAAGCCUGAUGCAGCCAUGCCGCGUGUAUGAAGAAGGCCUUCGGGUUGUAAAGUACUUUCAGCGGGGAGGAAGGGAGUAAAGUUAAUACCUUGGCUCAUUGACGUUACCCGCAGAAGAAGCACCGGCUAACUCCGUG
rnacentral:rRNA from 1 species